GUUGCAGCAAAAGCUGCCUAAGAAUGUCAAACUGUCUGUGAAGAUGUUAAAUCCAGGUAAAUGCACAAUUCAUUUUGACAAGCAUAUUUAUUUUCUCAUUUCCUUGGCAAUUCAUUUUUAUUCAUGAAAAUCAACGCCGUCAGUCAACACAAACAUUUGAAGUCCUGGUACUCGGGAGCCUCUAGCCGGUGCGAAUAUACUGGACAUUGUCGGUCUGGACCAGCACAGUUCCAGCUGCAAAAGGAUGUGCGUAUCGUAGGUAAAUUUAUUUAAAUGAGCUUUAUUCAAGAUUAGUUCUGGCAUUCUCCCUACUUACGCUUGGGAACGGGCUCGGCAUUGGCCAGGGCGGCGAGCAUGGCCAGGAGCAGGGCAGCAGCUUGGAAGAACUUCAUGUUGAUUUGGUUGGUUUUGGUUUUCGGUACGACUGUGAUACUGAUGCCCCACUGCCGACUGACACGAUCUUUUAUAGCUCGACGGGCACCGGACUGCAGAGUA
rnacentral:lncRNA from 1 species